CUCAAUGUGCUGGGACUAAAGAUAUUUGCAUGAGGAGGUGCUGUGAAUACUAAACAGGAAUCCAGCUGGUGUUUCUAGUGGUGGAUCUCUACUUAAGGAGGAAGACUCAGUUAUAGAAGUAAGAUUGCCCAUAAUUAAGACUUUCCUUUUGAAUGGCCAAAAAGACCUAGCAGGAAGAAUUUCGAUCACUCAAGAAGAAAAGUUUAAAUUUGUCAAUUGAACUGAGCUUCACAAUCUGGC
rnacentral:lncRNA from 10 species